rnacentral:rRNA from 1 species
GAGUGGCGAACGGGUGAGUAAUACAUCGGAACGUGCCCAAUCGUGGGGGAUAACGCAGCGAAACGUGUGCUAAUACCGCAUACGAUCUACGGAUGAAAGCAGGGGAUCGCAAGACCUUGCGCGAAUGGAGCGGCCGAUGGCAGAUUAGGUAGUUGGUGAGGUAAAGGCUCACCAAGCCUUCGAUCUGUAGCUGGUCUGAGAGGACGACCAGCCACACUGGGACUGAGACACGGCCCAGACUCCUACGGGAGGCAGCAGUGGGGAAUUUUGGACAAUGGGCGAAAGCUGAUCCAGCCAUGCCGCGUGCAGGAUGAAGGCCUUCGGGUUGUAAACUGCUUUUGUACGGAACGAAACGGCCUUUUCUAAUAAAGAGGGCUAAUGACGGUACCGUAAGAAUAAGCACCGGCUAACUACGUGC